rnacentral:rRNA from 1 species
UACGUAGGGUGCGAGCGUUAAUCGGAAUUACUGGGCGUAAAGCGUGCGUAGGCGGUUCGUUAAGUCAGUUGUGAAAGCCCCGGGCUCAACCUGGGAAUUGCGGUUGAAACUGGCGAACUAGAAUCUGGCAGAGGGGGGUGGAAUUCCACGUGUAGCAGUGAAAUGCGUAGAGAUGUGGAGGAACACCGAUGGCGAAGGCAGCCCCCUGGGCUGAGAUUGACGCUCAGGCACGAAAGCGUGGGAGCAAACAGG